GGGGGAAUCACUUAAAUUGUGACAAUUUCUUGUUAACCUAAUGAAUGCAUUAUUCCCACAAAACAUCUUGUUUUAAUCUGCAAAAGAUGAAACACACACACUCACGACUUUUGAGUCAGCAAAACAGCAGCAGACCACUUCCUUUUUGGUGGCUCCUCCUCAGAUACAAAUAAAGCUCAAAGUGAAGUUCAAGUCUGCUUCUGUCUCAGUCUGAUGAUCAUGAUGUUGAAAUUAAACCAGGCAGCACUGCUCUUCACUCAGCUAUUAGUGGUGUGGCAUGUCUUUGCAGGUACAGAGUAUAUUUAUGUCUUUUUAUCCAGAUCAAAUACAAAUAUAUUUCUAAUUUUUUUUCCUUUAAACAAUAGAGUUUGUUGAAAAAGGACACAGAAAUAUGAUGGUGUUCACAGGAGAUUCUGUGACAAUGACUUGCAACAUAUCUGAGCCAAAUGCAACGCAAAUCUCAUGGACCAACAACAGAUCUGUUUUCCAAUAUUCCAUUGUGCUGAAUCGCACCUUUUCAAAUUUCUCAUUUUAUAAACUGAAAAUAAAUCACGAGUUACCUACAGAGAUAAUUAUUUUUAGUGCUCAAUCUGAGGAUAAAGGACUUUAUACAUGUAGCAUAACUGGCGCAGAUGGCCUACAGGGCAUUACGUGGAAUUUAACUGUGUCUGAGAAGCCCAAAGGUGGGUAGAACAAAAACAUCUCCCAAUCACUUUUAGUAAAGCUUCAAUAACCAAUGAAAAUUACAUCUAUGCUGCUUUACAGAAUCCAUUUCAAAGUAUUUUCUAUCCAUACUGUCAACUGCAAUUGGAUUUCUUCUAUGCGGCAUCAUGUUGGCUGUUUUCCUCUGCAGAAAAUUUAUGAUGAGGACACUGAAUCAGGAUCCAGUCGAGGAUCAAUUUCCUCCUCAGUCAGAAGAGGGUACCACUGCUCAUUUGAAAAAUACCACAUGGAGGAGUCAAUAUACAGAGUUGCAGAAUUCAAUCUAUGGUCACUUCUAAGCUGACGAGACAUCCAGAUAUACAGUUACACCGAGACUUGGACAUUUUUCUGUUUCAAAGCAGGAACUGCAAGGGAACACAAUCAGAGGGAGGACAACACUGCUACUGUAGCCUCUUCAGCUCAAGGGCACAUCUCUGGCUUCGAGCAUGGCAGUUUCAAUCAUUCACAUCCCUGUUUUUAGAAAAAGCAGGCAAUGAGAAGAAAGUUUGCAUUAUUGGAAGAGGGACAAACAUGUUGUUUCAGGGUCAGGAUGAAAUGCAACGCCCAGUAUUAGAUAAAAUACAGAUUCUCUGAAACUGUAAAUCAGACUUAGUGGAGUGGAGCCAAAGUAUAGAAAUAUGGAGCAGGAAAUUAGAAAUAGUAGGUGCCUUUACCACUUGUUUGAAUUUGACUGAAUGUUUUUUUUGUUUAUUUUGUUUUUUGUUUGGCUGCACUAUGACGUCAAACAAAGUUAUUGCCAUUUCAAGAAAGUAUUCUUAAAUCAAUGGUUUACCUGGAGCUUUGUCCACUAAGGUUUUGUGAGGGAAUAUCACAGAAUGGACAACUCCGAUUAGGUUAGCUUUUAAAUGUGUAUAAAAUCAAAUGGUUAUAAUUUCAUGAUUAAUGCUACAGUCCUCCAAGACUUCAUUACAUCCCAUCAGGGUAUUCAUGUUAUCUAGUCAGCUUUUAUUCAGAUCAUGUUAUUGAAGUACGGAUUGCUUGGAAUUGUUUUAAAAUGUCUUGUAAUUUAAAGUGAGACCUAAACUCAUUAACACAAACCACUGACCCAUCUGGCCAUAUGACAUUCAUUGAGUCACAAGACCCUGUUAGUACCAUAUAUAGUAUACUGCAGUAUAAACAACAGUGAAGAUAUGCCACAUCUUGUGGCCCUAUCCCAGUUGUUCUAAAAUACGUUGCUACCAUCAAAUUCAAAAUGAGUUUUUUAAAACUGUUUUUUAAAUUUAAAAAAAGUAAAAUAUUCAUUUAAACACUUGCUGCAUUUUUAAUUUUCUACUGUCAAUAAAAUCUGAGUUUAUGAGAUGUGGAAAUUUUUGCAUCCUGUUUUUAUUUACAAUUUAAAUAGCAUCCCAUCAGAACUUAGUUUGUAGAACAAAGUUUAGUGUCAUUCAUAAAAAAUGUGAAAUAAAGCGCUGCAUGGUCACAGUUUUACUUUUGCAGAAAAAGCCGGACCAGGUGCCUGAACAAGGACCUUUACAAAAACAGCUUGGAGGAAAGGUUAGAAUAACGUUGUAUUAUUCAGAUUUUCAUUUCUCACAGUGUUUUCAGUCAUGCAUUCACCUUUUUCAUAGCUUCCAUAGUUUUAUCUGUAAUUCUUGCAAUGAAAAAACAGUGUUACUAAUUUAUCUUA